AAAUUCUCAAAGUAAAUUAUUUUGUUAAUUCAAUUGGUUUACUUUGGAUUUGGAGGCUUUGCAGAUUUUACAAUCUCUGCUCCUCUUGAAUGUAUUAGCUGGAUCUCGGUAUAUACUUGGUUCCACUCAGUGUGAUAAGUAUCACUCGCUGAGCAAGGAAUACAGAUGAACCGCUUCUAAUAGUCUAUAAAAAAUUUCAAG
rnacentral:misc_RNA from 1 species